AUACGGAAGGUUUGCAAGCGUUAAUCGGAAUCACUGGGCGUAAAGCGCUCGUAGGUGGCUUUGUAAGUCAGGUGUGAAAGCCCACGGCUCAACCGUGGAAUUGCACUUGAUACUGCAUUGCUUGAGUUCGGGAGAGGGUAGUGGAAUUCCAGGUGUAGGAGUGAAAUCCGUAGAGAUCUAGAGGAACACCAGUGGCGAAGGCGACUACCUGGACCGAUACUGACACUGAGGAGCGAAAGCGUGGGGAGC
rnacentral:rRNA from 1 species